rnacentral:rRNA from 1 species
UACGUAGGGGCCAAGCGUUGUCCGGAUUUAUUGGGCGUAAAGAGCUCGUAGGCGGUUGGGUAAGUCGGGUGUGAAAACUCCAGGCUCAACUUGGAGACGCCACCCGAUACUGCUCUGACUUGAGUUCGGUAGGGGAGUGGGGAAUUCCUGGUGUAGCGGUGAAAUGCGCAGAUAUCAGGAGGAACACCUGCGGUGUAGACGGCUUUCUGGACCAUUACUGACACUGAGACACGAAAGCGUGGGUAGCAAACAGG